rnacentral:rRNA from 1 species
CACGUGCUACAAUGGCGCAUACAGAGGGCAGCAAGCUAGCGAUAGUGAGCGAAUCCCAAAAAGUGCGUCGUAGUCCGGAUUGGAGUCUGCAACUCGACUCCAUGAAGUCGGAAUCGCUAGUAAUCGUGAAUCAGAAUGUCACGGUGAAUACGUUCCCGGGCCUUGUACACACCGCCCGUCACACCAUGGGAGUGGGCUGCAAAAGAAGUGGGUAGUUUAACCUUUCGGGGAGGACGCUCACCACUUUGUGGUUCAUGACUGGGGUGAAGUCGUAACAAGGUAGCCCUAGGGAACCUGGGGCUGGAUCACCUCCUUAUACGAAGAUAC